AGUCACUGACAUUAGAUACCCCUGUAGUCCAGGGUGUAAACGCUGCAGACUUGGUGUUGGAAGUCCUUUGGGGGCAUUCAGUGCCGGAGAGAAGUUGUUAAGUCUGCUACUUGGGAGUACGUCCGCAAGGAUGAAACUUAAAGGAAUUGGCGGGGGAGCACCGCAACGGGAGGAGCGUGCGGUUUAAUUGGAUUCAACACCGUAAACUCACCAGGGAAGACUGUUACAUGAAAGCCGAGAUGAAGACUCUGCUAGAUUUUCAG
rnacentral:rRNA from 1 species